AUUGAACGCUGGCGGCAGGCCUAACACAUGCAAGUCGAGCGGAUGAAGGGAGCUUGCUCCUGGAUUCAGCGGCGGACGGGUGAGUAAUGCCUAGGAAUCUGCCUGGUAGUGGGGGAUAACGUCCGGAAACGGGCGCUAAUACCGCAUACGUCCUGAGGGAGAAAGUGGGGGAUCUUCGGACCUCACGCUAUCAGAUGAGCCUAGGUCGGAUUAGCUAGUUGGUGGGGUAAAGGCCUACCAAGGCGACGAUCCGUAACUGGUCUGAGAGGAUGAUCAGUCACACUGGAACUGAGACACGGUCCAGACUACUACGGGAGGCAGCAGUGGGGAAUAUUGGACAAUGGGCGAAAGCCUGAUCCAGCCAAGCCGCGUGUGUGAAGAAGGUCUUCGGAUUGUAAAGCACUUUAAGUUGGGAGGAAGGGCAGUAAGUUAAUACCUUGCUGUUUUGACGUUACCAACAGAAUAAGCACCGGCUAACUUCGUG
rnacentral:rRNA from 1 species